rnacentral:lncRNA from 1 species
GUGAACAUUGGUUUGUGCCCUUAAUACAGUAAAUACAUGAUUUAUUACACUUCUGUAUUUAUGUGUUUAGGGUCACAAGGGAAUCCCUGGGAUGCCUGGGAUGCCUGGGCUGAAAGGUCAACGAGGUUUUGAUGGAAAAGAUGGUGCCAAAGGUGACAGUGGUGCUCCUGGUCCAAAGGGUGAAACUGGUCUUCCUGGAGUAAAUGGAGCACCAGGCCAGCCAGUAAGUAUGUGCAUCCUGUAGUGUUUCCGUGUUACCCGAGUUACUCAUCAUUCUCUUAACUUUAAUUACCCCACCACAUG